GACGAACGCUGGCGGCGUGCUUAACACAUGCAAGUCGAACGGAAAGGCCCUGCUUUUGUGGGGUGCUCGAGUGGCGAACGGGUGAGUAACACGUGAGUAACCUGCCCUUGACUUUGGGAUAACUUCAGGAAACUGGGGCUAAUACCGGAUAGGAGCUCCUGCUGCAUGGUGGGGGUUGGAAAGUUUCGGCGGUUGGGGAUGGACUCGCGGCUUAUCAGCUUGUUGGUGGGGUAGUGGCUUACCAAGGCUUUGACGGGUAGCCGGCCUGAGAGGGUGACCGGCCACAUUGGGACUGAGAUACCGCCCAGACUCCUACGGGAGGCAGCAGUGGGGAAUAUUGCACAAUGGGCGGAAGCCUGAUGCAGCCACGCCGCGUGCGGGAUGACGGCCUUCGGGUUGUAAACCGCUUUCGCCUGUGACGAAGCGUGAGUGACGGUAAUGGGUAAAGAAGCACCGGCUAACUACGUG
rnacentral:rRNA from 1 species